rnacentral:tRNA from 1 species
GAGGGUAUAGCUGGUAGAGUGUGUACCUAGCAUGCACGACGUCCUGGGUUCAAUCCCCAGUACCUCCA